AUGGAAGGAAAUGGGUGCCGCACAGAUGAUUGGACAUACGGCAUUUUGAUCCAUGGCCUCUGUGAUGGGAAGAUAGAAGAAGCUGAACAAUUACUGGAUAGUGCUGUUAAAGGAGGUUUUACACCUACGGUUGUUACAUUCACUAACUUGAUUGAUGGGUAUUGUAAAGCUGAAAGGAUUGAUGAUGCACUCAGGGUGAAAAAUAAUAUGUUGUUGAGUAAAUGCAAGCUUGAUGUAAAUGUGUAUGGAAAGCUGAUCAACAGCCUCAUUAGGAAGGAUAGGUUAAAAGAGGCUAAAGAGUUGCUAACUGAAAUUUUGACAACUGGUUUAGUUCCGAAUGUGGUCACCUCCAGUUCUGUUAGUGAUGGCUAUUGUAAGACCGGGAAGGUGGAUUUUGAACUAGAGGUCUUAAAAAUGAUGGAAAGAGAUGGUUGCCGGCCAAAUUCAUGGACCUACAACUCCCUGAUGUAUGGG
rnacentral:rRNA from 1 species